CCUACGGGAGGCAGCAGUAGGGAAUCUUUCACAAUGGGCGAAAGCCUGAUGGAGCAACGCCGCGUGCAGGAUGAAGGCCUUCGGGUUGUAAACUGCUUUUAUAAGCGAGAAAUAUGAUGGUAACUUAUGAAUAAGGAUCGGCUAACUACGUGCCAGCAGCCGCGGUCAUACGUAGGAUCCGAGCAUUAUCCGGAGUGACUGGGUGUAAAGAGUUGCGUAGGUGGCAUAAUAAGUAGCUAGUGAAAUCUGGUGGCUCAACCAUUCAGACUAUUAGCUAAACUGUUAAGCUCGAGACCGUUAGGGGUAACUGGAAUGUCUAGUGUAGGAGUGAAAUCCGUAGAUAUUAGAAGGAACACCGAUAGCGUAGGCAGGUUGCUGGGACGGUUCUGACACUAAGGCACGAAAGCGUAGGGAGCAAACGGGAUUAGAUACCCCUGUAGUC
rnacentral:rRNA from 1 species